GUGGCUCAUUGUGAUUCCUGCCAAGGGCUGGGCCAUGGACACAGCCACAGGAGCCACGGGAGCCACAGACACAGCUACCGGGGCCAUGGAGACAGAAGUACCUCAUUGGUGGCCAGCAGGUUGCUGACCUGCUUCUUUAGCUCCUCCACCCGUUUCCUGAGCAUGGCAUUCUCCUCCUCUAGCAGUCUGCACUCUACUCCACGGGGCGGAGCCAAGUUAUAUUCGUAGGACUCAAAAUGGGGGCCAUCAGGAGGGCAGCAGCCACCUCUCCGGCGCUUAGGGCCUGGCUCGUGGUCCUCAAAGCCCCUUUCAGAUUUCCCUAAAAUGACUAACCAGAUUGGAGGCCAGAGACACAACGGGACAGUGGCUCCAGAAUGAUGACAACCACCUUCUAAAAGAUAACGACCAUGUGAAGGAUGUUCUUAAAGCCUGACCUGUGCUUCAAGCCCCACCAGAAGCGGAUAACCGGGUAUGAUACUCUUCCUCACCCAAUGGUCCCCGAAUUAAUACCUGAGGUAGCUCAGGUGAAGUCCGGGGCUCCUGUGAGUCUCCACUUCCACAUCACUGCUGGGUUCUGAACAAGAAACAAAAAGACCAGAGAUUUGGUGGAAGAGGGAAAAAUCGUGAAGGUUAGGGGAUGGUUUUCAUAAAUCGGAAUGAAUUCUGACAAGACCUCA